GACGAACGCUGGCGGCGUGCCUAACACAUGCAAGUCGAGCGAGUGGAGUUCUUCGGAACAAAGCUAGCGGCGGACGGGUGAGUAACGCGUGGGCAACCUGCCUCAUAGAGGGGAAUAGCCUCCCGAAAGGGAGAUUAAUACCGCAUAAGAUUGUAGCUUCGCAUGAAGUAGCAAUUAAAGGAGUAAUCCGCUAUGAGAUGGGCCCGCGGCGCAUUAGCUAGUUGGUGAGGUAACGGCUCACCAAGGCGACGAUGCGUAGCCGACCUGAGAGGGUGAUCGGGCACAUUGGGACUGAGACACAGCCCAGACUCCUACGGGAGGCAGCAGUGGGGAAUAUUGCACAAUGGGGGAAACCCUGAUGCAGCAACGCCGCGUGAGUGAUGACGGCCUUCGGGUUGUAAAGCUCUGUCUUCAGGGACGAUAAUGACGGUACCUGAGGAGGAAGCCACGGCUAACUACGUGCCAGCCGCCGCAGUAA
rnacentral:rRNA from 1 species